UUCCUUCAUCAUUUAGUUUGAAUUCCUUCAUUUUUUGUGGAAACAGUUUUUUUUUUUUGAGCUUGGACUGCAUGUAUAUACAUAUACAUAGUGAAUGAGGGAAAGGAGGCUAGUCAGCACACCUUCUGCCCUUUUAUCAUAGUAGCCAGGAAAGGGGGGGGGGUAAAAUCCUCUCCCUCCCCCAGUCUGUGGUCUUUAUUAUUAUCUCUUGGCUGGCUACAGGUAGUGGUCAAUGUGAUUGCUCUACUCUUGCCUUGGCAGCUGUUUCCAGGGCUCUGUUCCCAUUGCAUGCCACCAUUGGCUGGGGAUAAGAGUCAUACUCAGGAUGAUGAUGCUGAUGCUGAUGCUGAUGCUGAUGCUGCUGCUGCUGAUGAUGAUGAUGACACUUUAUUUAUAUCCUGCACCUAUCUCCCUGAGGGUACUCGAGCUGGGAUGGAUUAGUGCAGGAAUAGAAAAUCAAGGCAUCAUUGGUCUUGUAAAAGAAAAAUGAUCUUAGACUUCUUAAUUAAUUGAAUAAAGGAGAGGACACAUGAAAGACUUCAUCUGACAAGUUCUGUAGUUUAGAUUGAGAAGAUUUUUUUCAACCUGUUAGUUGCUAUUCCCAUCAAAAGUAUGGAAGUAUGGUUAUCCCAUGGACCCAAGUGCUUUCAAGAACAGAUUUGGCAGUCCAAACCAAAGGUAUCUAGGAUGGUGUUAUAAAAGAAUAUUAGCACAUGUCAAAUAAAACAAUGUCAUAGAAAAUAAAAGUAAGAUCAUCCUAAAGUGUAAAAACUAUCAAGUUUGUAUUAUUUUUAAUUUUGGAAAACUAGAGAGAAUGUGUAUAAUGAUGGUGAAAACAGAAAAUGGAUUGUCAAAAACACACCACUACAGCAUUCCUAUUAGGUACCGACACUAUACAGACAGCUAAAUUGCUUAAUAAAAUACUAAUUUUAACAUAUUGGUUAAAUUAUUGGACAGAAAUUUGCAAAGAUAUCUAACAAAAGAGACUGAAACAAAAUAGGCAUUAAGCAUUUCUGCUUUUUCAUAAUAAUCUGUUAGCCUUUUGCCAUCCUUACUGUUUUCUUGGUCAUUCUCUUGCUUUGAAUAUACCUACUAAACCGUCUUUUGUUGCACAUUGCUUAUAUACUCAAUCUUACUUUUGUGAGUUUUACCUUGCUUUAUAUUAUCACUGCAAGCAUGAGCUACAUAUUUGUACUCUUCCUGGGUGAUUUGUCCAUCCUUUCAUCCUUUAUUUGCACAUGCCCUUUUUAUUUUCACUUUCUCCUUGAGUUUACUACCAACACUGAGCUUCUCAUCACAGUGGGCCAGGACAAACAUGUUUG
rnacentral:lncRNA from 11 species